CCAUACUCUAUUAUAAGGAAAAACAAAAUCCGAACCUUAGUUUCAAAUGGUCCUUUCUCUCCUCCUCUUGUAUUCUCUCUUCCCUCUUGCCCGAUACAGAGGUGCCUCCUUCCUCGCAUCCCAGUCGGCCCAGGCCAUAGACACGCACAGCACCAGCAGCCUCGCAAGCCCCCGAAACCCCCAAUCCCCGAGCCUCGCUACCGUACGCACAGCCUAUCCCAAUCAACGGGCCGCCCAAAGUCAUUACCACCCUGACGUUUUCGAGCAAAAUCCGGCCACUUCAAUCCUCUAUGAGUUAAGCCACCGCCACCAUCGUACUCAGCAGACCAUGGAGAGAAGAACCCACUUGAGGAUCGGGCCCAAAAACCACCGUGGGUGUUACCCAAAAUCCAUGGAAUUUCAAACGGUUUUGGCUUAGUUCCGGCCAUCCCGAGCCACCGUGGGUCACACUGCCACCUUCUUUGGUAUCCUCGUGGUCAGGUCUUUCAAGCCUAACCAAUUUCGUUACCCAACCGCCACUUCGUCAUUGUUGUCAGAGCUCCGAGAAGCAUUGAGGACAAGCUUGCUAAUUUGAAGAAGGAAAAACAAAAUAUUAAAGAAGAAAUCGAUCGUAUCACUCCUGAACUUCUGAAGACUAAAGAAGCUAUUGAUAAGCGUAGUGAAAAAUUGAUAAACUGGAGAGGAGGAUUAAUGAAAUUGUUGACCGAAUCUGCAGAGAUUUUAGUAGGUCUGUUGGGGUGGCAAAUAUCCGCGAGUACGAAGAGAACCAGCUUAAGGAUGCCCAAAAUAAUGCUGAGGAAAGGCUUAGCUUGAGUAGUCAGCUCUCAAAGUUGAAAUAUCAGAUGGAACAAAUCAAUCUGCAUUAGGAAGACAUGGGCAAUACAAAUCAAGUGUUGUUAAAGAUUAAAAUAUUUAUGAAAUUUUAUAUAAUGAUGGAAUUCCAAUUCAUUAAAUUUGUUCGGGUAAUAUGAUUUUGUAAAACAGGUAGUUUAUUUAAGUAAUAUAUAAAAAUUUACUUUUAUUAA